UACCAGCUCUCCGAGUUGUAGGGACGAUUAUUGGGCUUAAAGCGUCCGUAGCCGGCUUAGCAAGUCUCCUGUUAAAUUCAGCGACCUAAUCGUUGAGCCGCGGGAGAUACUACUAGGCUAGGAGGCGGGAGAGGUCGACGGUACUUUCGGGGUAGGGGUGAAAUCCUAUAAUCCCGGGAGGACCACCAGUGGCGAAGGCUGUCGACUAGAACGCGCUCGACGGUGAGGGACGAAAGCUGGGGGAGCGAACCGGAUUAGAUACCCGGGUAGUCCCAGCUGUAAACGAUGCGAGCUAGGUGUUGGGGUGGCUACGUGCCACUUCAGUGCCGCAGGAAAGCCAUUAAGCUCGCCGCCUGGGGAGUACGGCCGCAAGGCUGAAACUUAAAGGAAUUGGCGGGGAGCACCACAAGGCGUGAAGCUUGCGGUUC
rnacentral:rRNA from 1 species